AAGAUUUACCCAGGGAAGGGUUCAUUUGGGUUUGACUGCAACGUGACUGACUGCCAUUCCCUUGCAUUGAAGUGCUGUGCGAUACCAUCAAUAUACUCACUCGACCAAAACCAGGGCUUGGCGAAGGGGUUGCAAUUCUGAAGUUUCCCAAACUCCACGUAUUAUUCACUUUGACCCCAGCUUAAUUUGACCCAGCAUUUGGUGAUGGGUGGCGGUUGUUGUUUUUUUUUUAAACCAGAAACAAAUUCCAAACUGCUCCAGGAUUCACAAUUGCGGGGAGGGGGCAGACAAGAGCCUUUCACUGCCAUGUAAGAAAAUAUCAGAGAUCCCCGAUCUGAAAAAUAUGUUUGUUGCUGCUUGAUCUUUCUUUAAAAUAUAUAAUGACAUGAGAGUACGGCAGCAAAGUCUGUGGGCUUUCCCUCACCGCUAUGGGGGGUACCAUACUCACUCCCAGAGCCCCAUGUGCUGUUGAUAUAUUUUAUAUAUUGGGAACUAGCUCUUAUCAGUGUCUGGCUUUUACCCUUACUUCUAAACACACACACACACACACACACACAUACACACACAGCAAGAAAGUUCUCUAUAGGCCCCUGUGAUAGCUACACAAACAUAAAAGGGAGCGUGGGGAAGGGAAUAAGGAGGCUGCCCUGCGGGUCUGUUCAGAGCAGCCGGCUGGGGCCGGGCAGACAUAAGGAAGCUGGUUUGCAGCGAGGUGGGUUUCACGCGGUGCAGCUGUGGGUGGCGCAGCCCCGGAGUGAGAUUUCAGGCCCGUGGUGGUGGUGGUGUCUCCGCGUGCUCCGCUCUCCCAGGCUGGCUGACAGCCGCCAGCACAAAGAAACACGCGAGCUCACAACGCGGAUCGGGGGGCAGGGGAGACCGGAGAAGAGCGGGUUUCGCGUGGGACGUUUCCCUGCCUGUGGGGCUCGUGCGUGGCUUUUCGGAGGCUGGGAGUUACAAGACCAAACACGACUCCCCUUCCUCGGGAAGAUUGGCAGCUGCCGCCCGAAAGCCCGCACACGCCUGGGGCUCGCUUCCCAUCCAGCCUGUGUCCAGCGCGCACGCUCCCGCAGGGGACCGGGACACACGCCUGGGGCGUGCGCCCUGACACGGACACACACGCGCGUGCAACCAGCCCGAGUUCUUGACAUCCCCGCAGACGCCCCCGAGCCAGCCUCCCGCGUCUGCCCGGUUCCUGCGGGGGGGUGUUUUGCAAGCGAGCCCUAUGCCCAGCUGCCACCCCCGUCAGCCUCUGAAAACAGCUCCUGCUCCGCGCAAAGCACCCAGGGGUCCCCCCCCCCCGCCGCCCUUGCAACCCUCCGACGGGAGGA
rnacentral:lncRNA from 1 species